rnacentral:rRNA from 1 species
UACGUAGGGUGCAAGCGUUGUCCGGAAUUAUUGGGCGUAAAGAGCUCGUAGGCGGCUUGUCACGUCGGUUGUGAAAGCCCGGGGCUUAACCCCGGGUCUGCAGUCGAUACGGGCAGGCUAGAGUUCGGUAGGGGAGAUCGGAAUUCCUGGUGUAGCGGUGAAAUGACGCAGAUAUCAGGAGGAACACCGGUGGCGAAGGCGGAUCUCUGGGCCGAUACUGACGCUGAGGAGCGAAAGCGUGGGGAGCGAACAGG